rnacentral:rRNA from 1 species
UACGUAGGGGGCAAGCGUUGUCCGGAUUUAUUGGGCGUAAAGAGCGUGUAGGCGGCUAGGUAGGUCCGUUGUGAAAACUCGAGGCUCAACCUCGAGACGUCGGCGGAAACCAUCUGGCUAGAGUCCGGAAGAGGAGAGUGGAAUUCCUGGUGUAGCGGUGAAAUGCGCAGAUAUCAGGAAGAACACCCGUGGCGAAGCGGCUCUCUGGGACGGUACUGACGCUGAGACGCGAAAGCGUGGGGAGCAAACAGGAUUAGAACUACC